CGGCCGUAACUAUAACGGUCCUAAGGUAGCGAAAUUCCUUGUCGGGUAAGUUCCGACCUGCACGAAUGGCGUAACGACUUCCCCGCUGUCUCCAACAUAGACUCAGCGAAAUUGAAUUACCUGUCAAGAUGCAGGUUUCCCGCGGUUAGACGGAAAGACCCCGUGCACCUUUACUACAGCUUCACACUGGCAAUAGGUCAGGCAUGUGCAGGAUAGGUGGUAGGCUUUGAAGCAGGGACGCUAGUCCUUGUGGAGCCAUCCUUGAGAUACCACCCUUGCCUCGCUUGUUGUCUAACCGCGGUCCGUUAUCCGGAUCCGGGACCCUGUGUGGCGGGUAGUUUGACUGGGGCGGUCGCCUCCUAAAGCGUAACGGAGGCGCGCGAAGGUUGGCUCAGAGCGGUCGGAAAUCGCUCGUUGAGUGCAAUGGCAGAAGCCAGCCUGACUGCGAGACUGACAAGUCGAGCAGAGUCGAAAGACGGCCAUAGUGAUCCGGUGGUCCCAAGUGGGAGGGCCAUCGCUCAACGGAUAAAAGGUACGCCGGGGAUAACAGGCUGAUACUGCCCAAGAGUCCAUAUCGACGGCAGUGUUUGGCACCUCGAUGUCGGCUCAUCUCAUCCUGGGGCUGGAGCAGGUCCCAAGGGUACGGCUGUUCGCCGUUUAAAGAGGUACGUGAGCUGGGUUUAGAACGUCGUGAGACAGUUCGGUCCCUAUCUUCCGUGGGUGUAGGAUACUUGAGAGGAGUUGCCCCUAGUACGAGAGGACCGGGGUGAACGAUCCACUGGUGGACCAGUUGUCGUGCCAACGGCAGUGCUGGGUAGCUAUGAUCGGACAGGAUAACCGCUGAAGGCAUCUAAGCGGGAAGCCCCCCUCAAAACAAGGUAUCCCUGAGAGCCGAGGUAGACCACCUCGUCGAUAGGCCAGAGAUGUAAGUGCGGUAACGCAUUCAGUUGACUGGUACUAAUUGCUCGAUAGGCUUGAUUUG
rnacentral:rRNA from 1 species